rnacentral:rRNA from 1 species
CCGGAGUGCUUGCACUUUGGCAGACUGAGUGGCGGACGGGUGAGUAACGCGUGGGUAACCUGCCUUAUACAGGGGGAUAACAGUUGGAAACGACUGCUAAUACCGCAUAAGCGCACGGGAUCGCAUGAUCCAGUGUGAAAAACUCCGGUGGUACAGGAUGGACCCGCGUCUGAUUAGAUAGUUGGUGGGGUAACGGCCUACCAAGUCGACGAUCAGUAGCCGGACUGAGAGGUUGAACGGCCACAUUGGGACUGAGAUACGGCCCAGACUCC